AUGUCUACAGAAAACUUCAGAAUGCCCACAGACAACUUUUCAGACUUGGAGCUGGAGCUAACUGAUCUACUCCAGGAGUUCGCGGAUGUGGUUGAGGAGUUGAGCGAGCCUUCACAAAGCGAAUACGAGCGGCUCCUGUCUGAAGCCAAACGGCGCACCGGGCUAGGGGACGACGGCUCAGUGGUCAGCGACAGCGGCGUGGAGGACAAUAGUGACUGCAGCAGUGAGGUGUCUCUGGGUAACAGUUGGAACACCAGCGAAGAAGAGCUCCACACUGCAGGCAUAACAGUGACGCCCAAAGCCAGAAUGGGAGACACAGGAGACCUACAGAGAUUCAUCGACAGUUUGGACCGGGAACUUGCUGGUAUGCAUCUUAAAACAAAACAAAAAUUCAGCACAACCUGACAAUGCCAUUUUAUCCCAUGAAUCUAGUGUUUCAAUCUCCUUAUAUUCCAUUAGUCUAGUGUUUCAAUCUCCUUAUAUUCCAUUAGUUUAGUGUUUCAAUGCCAUUAUAUCCCAUGAAUCUAGUGUUUCAAUCUCUUUAUAUCCCAUUAGUCUAGUGUUUCAAUCUCUUUAUAUUCCAUNNNNNNNNNNCUACUUAAGACAUACAUUAGACAAACAUAACACUACUUAAGACAUACAUUAGACAUACAUAACACUACUUAAGACAUACAUUAGACAAACAUAACACUACUUAAGACAUACAUUAGACAUACAUAACACUACUUAAGACAUACAUUAGACAUACAUAACACUACUUAAGACAUACAUUAGACAUACAUAACACUACUUAAGACAUACAUUAGACAAACAUAACACUACUUAAGACAUACAUUAGACAAACAUAACACUACUUAAGACAUACAUUAGACAAACAUAACACUACUUAAGACAUACAUUAGACAUACAUAACACUACUUAAGACAUACAUUAGACAUACAUAACACUACUUAAGACAUACAUUAGACAUACAUAACACUACUUAAGACAUACAUUAGACAUACAUAACACGACUUAAGACAUGCAUUAGACAUACAUAGCAUUACAUAAAGCAUUCAUAAGCCAUACAUAAGUUAAAUAUAACACUGUAAGAUCCAUGUCGGUCAGUCUGAGGUGUGCUGCAGGCGUCUCACUGGCUCAGUGUAGUUUUACAUUAUAGGCUGUUUAAGAUGUGAUUUUUUUAUAAAGCCAGCUGAAUAAGAGUCUGUGCAUUUUAUUUUCUAUCUUGGUUAAACCAGGGGUUGUGUCCUGACUCCUUCAUUGUGUUCCAAAUGGUACCCUAUUUCCUAUAUAGUCCACUACAUUUAACCAGGGCCCUAAGGGCUCUAGGGAAUAGGGUGCAAUUUGGGAUGCAGUUUCUUCUUAUAUAAUCUGCUGAAUCUCUCCACAGAAAUGUUCCUUUCAACCACUCUCUUUUUCUCCUUCUCACAUGCUCUCCUUUUUGUCUGCAGCCAGAAUGGGAGACACAGGAGACCUACAGAGAUUCAUCGACAGUUUGGACCGGGAACUUGCUGGUAUGCAUCUUAAAACAAAACAAAAAUUCAGCACAACCUGACAAUGCCAUUUUAUCCCAUGAAUCUAGUGUUUCAAUCUCCUUAUAUUCCAUUAGUCUAGUGUUUCAAUCUCCUUAUAUUCCAUUAGUUUAGUGUUUCAAUGCCAUUAUAUCCCAUGAAUCUAGUGUUUCAAUCUCUUUAUAUCCCAUUAGUCUAGUGUUUCAAUCUCUUUAUAUUCCA
rnacentral:lncRNA from 13 species